GGUAAGUUGCCCAGCCUAUGGACAUAUUCAGUUGCCAUUAGCAAUCUUGAUGUGGCACGUUAUCAAAACAAGAAUAGUGCUAGCAUCUUCCCUAAAUUAAAACACCAUCAUCAAUUAUGCAAUGCGACAUAGGUUAAAUUUUACAACUCCAACCUAGUGCUUGUCGCCAGCGUCUUCCCCUUUUCCACCUCUUCCUCAAGACAAUGGUCCUAACCAUGUCAUCUCCAUAGCCUGCAAGGAAGAAUUUUGUGAAACGAUAAGCCAUCUACAAAGCCGAUGAACACUCCUCUUGUGCCCUUCGCCUCACUCAACGAGCCAUCCGUCUCAAUCCUGGCAAUUACACUUGUUAAUGAAGGUUUGGCAUUUUAGGCGACUCACUCGAAGCAAUUAAUGCCGAUUUGGACAAGGAGUUGGAUUAGAUUGCUAAUUCUAACUCUAAAAACUAUUAGUUAUGGAGGGCUACUGUUAAGUAUUUUGGCAACUACAUCAAACCAUACUUGAUCAUUACUUGCGACGUAUCAAUGAAUGAUUUGC